rnacentral:lncRNA from 1 species
GUGGGUCUCUAUGGGGGAUCUUGUGGGUCUCUAUGGGGGAUCUUGUGGGUCUCUAUGGGGGGAUCUUGUGGGUCUCUAUGGGGGGAUCUUGUGGGUCUCUAUGGGGGGAUCUUGUGGGGUCUCCAUGGGUCUCUAUGGGGAUCUUGUGGGUCUCUAUCAGGAUCUUGUGGGUCUCCAUGUGUCUCUAUCGGGAUCUUGUGGGUCUCUGUGGGUCUCUAUGGGGGAUCUUGUGGGUCUCUAUGGGGGAUCUUGUGGGUCUCUUUGUGUCCUUAUGGAGGUCUGGGGGUCUCCAUGGGUCUCUAUGGGUUCAUGUGGGGGUCCUGGGGGUCUCUAUGGGUUCAUAUGGGGGUCCUUAUGGGGUCUCUAUGGCUCUGUAUGGAUCCUUAUCUGAGUCUUGGGGGUCUCUAUGGGUUUUUAUGUGGUUCCUGAGCAUCUCUAUGGGUCUCUGUGGGUUCUUAUGGGGGUCCUUGGGGUUUCUAUGGGUCUUUGUGUGUCCUUAUGAGGGUCUGGGGGUCUCCAUGGAUCUCUAUGGGUCCUUGUGGGGGUCCUGGGGGUUUCUAUGGGUCCUCAUGGGACUUCUGGGGGUCUCUAUGGUUCUGCAUGGACCCUUAUGGGGGUCUUGGGUGUCUCUAUGGGUUUUCGUGGGGGUCCUGGGGGUCUCCGUGGGUCUCUAUGGGUUCUUAUGGGGGUCCUGGGGGUCUCCAUGGGUCUCUGUGGGUUCUUACAGGGGUCCUGAGGGUCUCUGUGGGUCUCUGGGGGUUCUUACGGGGGUCCUGGGGGUCUCUAUGGGUUCUUAUGGGGUUUCUGGGGGUACUGACUGUUUGUGUGGUUCUCUAUGGAUUCUUAUGGGAGUCCUCGGGGUUUCUAUGGGUCUCUGUGGGUCCUCAUGGGGGUCCUGUGGGUCUCUAUGGGCUCUUAGGGAUCUGUAUGGGUCUCUGUGUGUUUUUAUGGGAGUCUGGGGGUCUCCAUGGGUCUCUGUGGGUCCAUAUGGGGGUCCUGAGGGUGUCUGUGGGUCUCUGUGGGUUCAUAUGGGGGUCCUGGGGAUCUCCAUAAUUCUCUAUGGGUCCUGGGGGUCUCUAUGUGUCCUAAUGGAGGUCUGGGGGUCUCCAUGGGUCUUUGUGGGUCCUUAUGGGGGGUCCUGGGGGUCUCUAUGG